rnacentral:lncRNA from 1 species
CAAUCUUAUAUACUCUAAAAAAGUUUCCGACUUUCUGAUUUAUCCUUUUUAAAAGGCUAAUAUUAAAAAUACUCAUUUUAUAUUCCAAUCUAUUUCAAAUAUACCCCUAAAAUUAAAUUCUGUUAAUGAACGGUUAGGAUAGCGGUUAUCACUGUGAAAUUACUAUUUUGUCAUUUCCAAUAUUCCUUUCUAUCAUCACUAGCUUUUCUUAUUUGCCUUAAGUUAGGGGCACAAGAAGAACUUUAAUUUUUGGUCUUUUCAAAUAUAAUUUUCUAUCAGCAUCAAAAUUUUUUAUUUGCCCUUAAGUUACGGACAAAAGAGGUAUUUUAAUUUUUUUAAAACUAUGGUAGAUAUUUAACUCAUGUUUAAUCCAAAUUAACCUAAUGGGUGAUAACUGCAGUGGUAUUUUUGAAUAACGGAGGAAGAUAUGAGGGGUAUAUUAAAAAGAAAAAUAAAAUAGGAAUAAAUAAGAUAUUUUCAAAGUUUUGAGGGGUACAUAGAUAAUUAUCCCUAUUUUUUAUAUGGAAUUGGACCGGGAUUCUUCUAAUAGUAUCGAGUUAUUGGUACGUGUGAGUCUUUGGCAUUGGGAAGAAGAGUUGAAUAUUGUUGGAGAGUCAAAGUAUUUUUCUUUACAACUUUGAAUUUAAAAUUCAUAAUUUAAAAUUUUAAAAUUAAAAUAUAAAAUAUAAAAUAUAAAAUUUAAAGUUUUAAAUUUUUAAUUUUUAAUUUUAAAUUUCAAAUUAUAAAAUUUUAACUUAGAUUUUAAAGAGCCUGGCUAGGAUACUAUCAAUAGCACCAAGCCCUUACUGCUACCGAGUUUUUCACCGUUAGAUUUAACCCUUUGAUUAUUUUCACCCGUUAAAUUAUACUAUUCAACCAACAACUUACUCAACCUUAGAGGGCCCACAUCAUUCUAAACGUACAUUCCUUCAUCCAAGGGCCGAAAACUUAAUAGCUAUUGAUAGUAUUCCAGUCUAGUUCAGAUUUUAAAUUCAAAUAGAAAAUUUUAAGCUUUGAUUCAGAUUUAAAUUUAAAUGUUAAAAUUUAAAUUUUAAUAUAGAUUUUGAAUUCAAAUUUCAAAAUGAAAUUCCGCCAAAAAAUUAGCUUGUGCAGACAAUCAAAAGAAUUUGCCAAAUCCACCCCCUUGCUCAAUUGAUGAUGUUGUUGUAGUUUUUUUCUAAAAAAUAUUUUGUAAUGGUAGUUUCAUAUAAUUUGGAGUGAGGCUACUAUGCUCCUGUUCCGUGCUUCCAGGUUGUUUUUCAUGAUGCGACUUUCGAAUCGUCGAUCGGCUCCGUUAAACUUGAUCUAGAGUAUUUGAAGUACCUAGAAAAUAAAUUGUGCGAUUUUUCUAUAUUAUUUGCCUAGUGAACGAAGGGGCUCAAAAUCAACGGCUGAAAAUAAAAAUCUUACAAAACGUGAUAAUAUGAUAUUAAAAUUUUAGAUCAAAGAUAUUGAUCUUGUUUUAUAUAGUAUAAAAAAUUUUCUAUCAAAAUUUCACGUGAUUUGGAUAUUUCUACACCGUUAAACUUGCAAACGGCUCACUACGGCCAUUAAAAUUAUUGAUUUUGAGCUCCUUCGACCACUAGGCAAAUAAUAUCGAAAAAUCAUAAAAUUUAUUUUCUAGGUA